UACGGAGGGUGCAAACGUUGCUCGGAAUCAUUGGGCGUAAAGCGCACGUAGGCGGUCUGUUAAGUCGGAUGUGAAAGCCCUCGGCUCAACCCGAGGAAGUGCAUACGAAACUGGCGGACUUGAAUAUGGAAGAGGGUCGCGGAAUUCCCGGUGUAGAGGUGAAAUUCGUAGAUAUCGGGAGGAACACCGAGUGGCGAAGGGCGGCGACCUGGGCCAAU
rnacentral:rRNA from 1 species